GUAAAGCCCUCUGGGCCUAGGACAAGGUCUGGUUACAGCUAGGAGCCAGAGGAGUCCCUGUCAUCUCUGGGAUAGAGAACGCACAGAGCCUUAUUACACAUAGGAUGUGGAUGUGCUGUAAGUUUGAGUGCAGAAAUAGAAAAACAAAGCUUUUCCUUGGGAACACUGUUUCUGAGAGGUGAUUGACAUAUGUCAGGAUUAGAACAUUACUACUUCAAAGGACUUUUCCAUAGAGCUUUUAUGCUGUGUGACUCAAUGGUGAAUGCCUCAAACCCAUCCCAGCUUUCAAACAUUGCCAUUGCCUUAGUUCUGAGCCCAUGUCUUCUCAGGAGACAGAUGUUUCUGUCUGCCUCAGCACUACCUAGGAUUGCUGCUCAGCUGCUGACUGGAGCGGUCUGUUUAAGAGGAGAUGUGUGGUGUCCUGUGCGACUGUACACGGAGUGUUUCUGCCACUCCAGCGUAGGUUCUAGUGCAUUUGAGCUGAAAGCGUUAGGGAAUGCUAAUUCAGUCUGGCACUGAGGUCCCUGCGCAUUAAGAAGAGAAUAUGGAAAAGAAUUUAAAAAGUCAUUUUUUGGAUGAAAGCAAAGCCUUUUAUCGGGUGCAUAUAGUUUCUGUUCAUGAAAUUAAUGCUUCCAGCAGAGCCUAGAAAACAAAAAGAAUGGAACUACCUCUUUUAAUGGACUUAAGGAAAUGGAAAUAUUUGGCUUGGAAAAAAAAAA
rnacentral:lncRNA from 1 species